rnacentral:rRNA from 1 species
UGGGGAAUCUUGGACAAUGGGCGCAAGCCUGAUCCAGCCAUGCCGCGUGAGUGAUGAAGGCCCUAGGGUUGUAAAACUCUUUCGUGGGGGACGAUAAUGACGGUACCCCAAGAAGAAGCUCCGGCUAACUUCGUGCCAGCAGCCGCGGUAAUACGAAGGGGGCUAGCGUUGUUCGGAUUUACUGGGCGUAAAGCGCGUGUAGGCGGGCUGGAAAGUUGGGGGUGAAAUCCCGAGGCUCAACCUCGGAACUGCCUCCAAAACUUCCAGCCUGGACUCAAGUAGAGGCAAGUGGAAUUGCGAGUGUAGAGGUGAAAUUCGUAGAUAUUCGCAGGAACACCAGUGGCGAAGGCGACUUGCUGGACUUGUAGUGACGCUGAGACGCGAAAGCGUGGGGAGCAAACAGGAUUAGAUACCCAAGUAGUCCCUGAGCGGGCUGGCAAGGCGCAU